UUCUCUAAAGCGCAAUGGAUAGCGCGUUGGAUUUCUAAUCCAAAGGGCAUGGGUUUGAAUCCCAUCUGGUAAG